CCUUACGUCCUGGGCUACACACGUGCUACAAUGGUAGGGACAGAGAGUUGCGAACCGGCGACGGUAAGCUAAUCUUCAAACCCUAUCUCAGUUCGGAUCGGAGUCUGCAACUCGACUCCGUGAAGUUGGAAUCGCUAGUAAUCGUGGAUCAGCAUGCCACGGUGAAUACGUUCCCGGGCCUUGUACACACCGCCCGUCACACCAUGGGAGUGGAUUGCACCAGAAGUAGUUAGUCUAACCUUCGGGAGGACGAUUACCACGGUGUGGUUCAUGACUGGGGUGAAGUCGUAACAAGGUAGCCGUAGGGGAACCUGCGGCUGGAUCACCUCCUU
rnacentral:rRNA from 1 species